rnacentral:rRNA from 1 species
ACGAACGCUGGCGGCGUGCUUAACACAUGCAAGUCGAACGGAGAUAGUUUGAAAGCUUGCUGAUAACUAUCUUAGUGGCGCACGGGUGAGUAACACGUGGGCAACCUGCCCGGAAGACUGGGAUAACACCUCGAAAGGGGUGCUAAUACCGGAUACCUUCACGAAGUCGCAUGACUUUGUGCAGAAAGAAAUUCGCUUCCGGAUGGGCCCGCGUCCCAUUAGCUAGUUGGUGAGGUAACGGCUCACCAAGGCGACGAUGGGUAGCUG